ACACGGAGGGUGCAAGCGUUACUCGGAAUCACUGGGCGUAAAGCGCGCGCAGGCGGCUAUUUAAGUUGGAUGUGAAAGCCUACGGCUCAACCGUAGAACUGCAUCCAAAACUAUUUAGCUAGAGUGUGGGAGAGGAAGAUGGAAUUAGUUGUGUAGGGGUAAAAUCCGUAGAGAUAACUAGGAAUACCAAAAGCGAAGGCAAUCUUCUGGAACACUACUGACGCUGAGGCGCGAAAGCGUGGGGAGCAAACAGGAUUAGAAACCCUAGUAGUCC
rnacentral:rRNA from 1 species